UGGGGAAUAUUGCACAAUGGGCGCAAGCCUGAUGCAGCCAUGCCGCGUGUGUGAAGAAGGCCUUCGGGUUGUAAAGCACUUUCAGCGAGGAGGAAGGUGGUGAGCUUAAUACGCUCAUCAAUUGACGUUACUCGCAGAAGAAGCACCGGCUAACUCCGUGCCAGCAGCCGCGGUAAUACGGAGGGUGCAAGCGUUAAUCGGAAUUACUGGGCGUAAAGCGCACGCAGGCGGUUUGUUAAGUCAGAUGUGAAAUCCCCGGGCUCAACCUGGGAACUGCAUUUGAAACUGGCAAGCUAGAGUCUCGUAGAGGGGGGUAGAAUUCCAGGUGUAGCGGUGAAAUGCGUAGAGAUCUGGAGGAAUACCGGUGGCGAAGGCGGCCCCCUGGACGAAGACUGACGCUCAGGUGCGAAAGCGUGGGGCAGCAAACAGGAUUAGAUACCCUGGUAGUCCACGCUGUAAACGAUGUCGAUUUGGAGGUUGUGCCCUUGAGGCGUGGCUUCCGGAGCUAACGCGUUAAAUCGACCGCCUGGGGAGUACGGCCGCAAGGUUAAAACUCAAAUGAAUUGACGGGGUC
rnacentral:rRNA from 1 species